rnacentral:lncRNA from 1 species
AGAAAUCAUUAGAAAUAUUAUUCAGGCAACUGAGUAUCGGCCCCGGUGAAGUGGUAGUUCUGGUGUCUGACACACUUCAUGUGAUUGUGGGGUUUUCUCUACAAAGUAGUAAAUAUUUUAAGCCAAGCCAAACCAAACCAAACCACUUUCACUCCCCCUAAAUUUUUUAAAAGAAGAAAGCGGUUCAUCGUGCAUGAACCUUUGUCCAAAAUCUCAGCCCUUCAACUUGUGGACCAGUUAGCAGGAAUGGACUCUUCUGACCCUCUGAUUU